UCAAACUUGGUCAUUUAGAGGAAGUAAAAGUCGUAACAAGGUCUCCGUUGGUGAACCAGCGGAGGGAUCAUUAAAGAGUUUAACCGCUCCCAACCCUAUGUGAACUUACCGUUUGUUGCCUCGGCAGGUCGCGCCUACCCUGUGAGGUCCUACCCCGUAGGACCUUACCCGGUUGGCGCGGGUAGUCCUGCCAGAGGCCCACGAAAUUCUGUUUACUGUGUCACUCUGAAUCGAUAACUAAAUAAGUUAAAACUUUCAACAACGGAUCUCUUGGUUCUGGCAUCGAUGAAGAACGCAGC
rnacentral:misc_RNA from 1 species